rnacentral:tRNA from 1 species
GGGCGGUUAGCUCAGCGGAAGAGCGUCUGGUUUACACCCAGAAGGUCGCUGGUUCGACCCCAGCACCGCCCACCA